rnacentral:rRNA from 1 species
GACGAACGCUGGCGGCGUGCCUAAUACAUGCAAGUUGAGCGAUGAAGAUUGGUGCUUGCACCAAUUUGAAGAGCAGCGAACGGGUGAGUAACGCGUGGGGAAUCUGCCUUUGAGCGGGGGACAACAUUUGGAAACGAAUGCUAAUACCGCAUAAUAACUUUAAACAUAAGUUUUAAGUUUGAAAGAUGCAAUUGCAUCACUCAAAGAUGAUCCCGCGUUGUAUUAGCUAGUUGGUGAGGUAAAGGCUCACCAAGGCGAUGAUACAUAGCCGACCUGAGAGGGUGAUAGGCCAAAUUGGGACUGGAACACGGCCCAAACUCCUACGGGAGGCAGCAGUAGGGGAUCUUCGGCAAUGGACGAAAGUCUGACCGAGCAACGCCGGGUGAGUGAAGAAGGUUUUCGGGUCGUAAAACUCUGUUGGUAGAGAAGAACGUUGGUGAGAGUGGAAAGCUCAUCAAGUGACGGUAACUACCCAGAAAGGGACGGCUAACUACGUG